GAUGAACGCUGGCGGCGUGCCUAAUACAUGCAAGUCGAGCGAACGGACGAGAAGCUUGCUUUUCUGAUGUUAGCGGCGGACGGGUGAGUAACACGUGGAUAACCUACCUAUAAGACUGGGAUAACUUCGGGAAACCGGAGCUAAUACCGGAUAAUAUUUUGAACCGCAUGGUUCAAAAGUGAAAGACGGUCUUGCUGUCACUUAUAGAUGGAUCCGCGCUGCAUUAGCUAGUUGGUAAGGUAACGGCUUACCAAGGCAACGAUGCAUAGCCGACCUGAGAGGGUGAUCGGCCACACUGGAAGUGAGACACGGUCCAGACUCCUACGGGAGGCAGCAGUAGGGAAUCUUCAGCAAUGGGCGAAAGCCUGACGGAGCAACGCCGCGUGAGUGAUGAAGGUCUUCGGAUCGUAAAACUCUGUUAUUAGGGAAGAACAGAUGUGUAAGUAACUGUGCACAUCUUGACGGUACCUAAUCAGAAAGCCACGGCUAACUACGUG
rnacentral:rRNA from 1 species